GUGAUCGUCGCAGCCUGAUCCAGCAUGCCGCGUGAGUGAUGAAGGCCUUCGGGUUGUAAAGCUCUUUUACCAGGGACGAAAAGGACAGGGGUUAAUACCCUUUCUACUGAACGGUCCCUCUGAAUAAACCACCGGUUAAUUCCUGGCCACCGCCCCCGUAAUAA
rnacentral:rRNA from 1 species